GAUGAACGCUGGCGGCGUGCCUAAUACAUGCAAGUCGAGCGAAUGGAUUAAGAGCUUGCUCUUAUGAAGUUAGCGGCGGACGGGUGAGUAACACGUGGGUAACCUGCCCAUAAGACUGGGAUAACUCCGGGAAACCGGGGCUAAUACCGGAUAACAUUUUGAACCGCAUGGUUCGAAAUUGAAAGGCGGCUUCGGCUGUCGCUUAUGGAUGGACCCGCGUCGCAUUAGCUAGUUGGUGAGGUAACGGCUCACCAAGGCAACGAUGCGUAGCCGACCUGAGAGGGUGAUCGGCCAAACUGGGACUGAGACACGGCCCAGACUCCUACGGGAGGCAGCAGUAGGGAAUCUUCCGCAAUGGACGAAAGUCUGACGGAGCAACGCCGCGUGAGUGAUGAAGGCUUUCGGGUCGUAAAACUCUGUUGUUAGGGAAGAACAAGUGCUAGUUGAAUAAGCUGGCACCUUGACGGUACCUAACCAGAAAGCCACGGCCAACUACGUGCCAGCAGCCGCCGCGG
rnacentral:rRNA from 1 species